AAAUCAUGUGAAAAAAUAUUGGAAAUUUAUAUAUAAUUAUUUUAAAUUAAGAGAUUAGCCAUCAGAUCGUAAAGUUCUUGGACCACAAUAUCCCUUCAGAAGACGUCGUUAACCUCCUGUUUCGGUUUAUCGUCGCGGAAGGCAUAGAAGGAAUCAGCUUUGAUCCUGGGCAGGUUCCACGCGAUUCCUGUCGGAGCCUUGGGCGAUGAAGCACACCGUGGCUGCACCGUCAGAAAAUUUCAUGGGACUAGCACGAUAGCAGAGAUUGCGUAAUAGAGAUCACUUGGCAGAGGAUCUGAUCAAAGUUGAAUCUCAUUGGCUUUCGUUUCCGUGGUACCGACGAGGGAACUGCCUUGUCUCUGCUAUGGAAAUCCUAGAUGGAAGAGAUAAGAGACACAGAAUAAAGAUACAAGUUUUUGAGGAAUAAUGAUAUUGACCGCGAGUAGAUUGUAUUAAGAUUUCUGAACUCUCUUAAGCGUGAUAAUUGGAUAAUUUUGAUAAUAAUGAUUAUAUGGAUCGAAUCUAACGUGUGAAAGCUGAAGAAAUAAAUUCUCAAAAUUGUUAACGAAAGGAGUUACGUGGGAAAGAAGCAGAAGUGUUCAGAUUUCCAGAAGAGGACUAGAUUUUAUAAAAGACGUUACAUAGAUCAAGGAUAUUUUUCAUCAACCACCAGUUGCCCGUUUGUGUUCUCUCGUUCCUCGAUUAUACAUUUUGCUACAUGACUUAAAACCUGGUCAGAGGUUGUUCCAGUUACGCUUUAAUAAUGGUAAUAUUUCCUGAGCAUCGUGUGCCGUGUCAUGUAUUAUGAGAAGCCAAGAUUUCGCGUCAAAACAUAUAUCUUAAAAAUUAAUUAAAAUGGCGGAUACGAUCACGGAUUGAAUCAUUUAAGAAUAUUAUUGGAGAAGAGGAAAAUGAACAAUAAAAAAGGAAAAUUUCGAGAUCUAUUUGGGAAGAAACGUGAAAUUUCAUGCGCAAUUUCAUACGCGAAAGAAAACAGAGUAAACAGAAAAUCGUAUUACCAAGUAAAAUGAUUUUGAAACGGAAUAACGUUCUCCAUUGAGAUGCGGAAAUACCGUACAAAUAACCGAGAUGUUUGCAUAGGAUGGGGACACCGGGCGAAACUCAUCUUUUCAGAUGUUUCCCAGUACACCGAUAGUCGUGGUCGAGAGGAAUGAAUUAAAAAAGAAACCAUAGAGACAGGCUGAGAGAGUGAAAGAGACGAGGAAAGGAAAGAAAAAGAACCUGUGGGAAGAAGACAACAAACGUCUAUUCAUAUCUUCGAGCAAUGAAUUGAGUUUGAGUUGCGCAACAUAAAGAUUGCAAUAAAAUAACGAAGAUUUUAAUUGUUUCCUUAAUUUAAAGUGUCACUGGCAAUAUAAUUACCGUGCUAAAUUUAAUUUCAUAAUAUAAAUAUUAUCUAUAUAUA